CUCCCCUCCGGCACCCUGAAUAAAGUAUCUGAGCUGACGACAGAAGCUGGAAGUCUGCCACCUGCUUCUCUGAGGCGCCGUGCCAUCUGAGGAGUGACUCAGUGUGUCCAGGCCACGGCUGGGGCAGGCAGGCAGGCAGGCAGGCGGGCGGACACGUGGCGCCCCCUGGUGC